rnacentral:rRNA from 1 species
UACGGGGGGGCAAGCGUUGUUCGGAAUUACUGGGCGUAAAGGGCGCGUAGGCGGUUUGUUAAGUUGGAUGUGAAAACUCUGGGCUUAACCCAGAGCCUGCAUCCAAAACUAGCAGACUAGAGUUCUGGAGGGGAUAGCGGAAUUCCGGUGUAGAGGUGAAAAUUCGUAGAUAUUGGGAAGAACACCGGUGGCGAAGCGCGACCUGGUCCGAUUACUGACGCUGAGGCGCGACAG